GACGUCUGAUUAGCUAGUUGGUGAGGUAAUGGCUCACCAAGGCGACGAUCAGUAGCGGGUCUGAGAGGAUGAUCCGCCACGCUGGAACUGAGACACGGUCCAGACUCCUACGGGAGGCAGCAGUGGGGAAUUUUGGACAAUGGGGGAAACCCUGAUCCAGCCAUUCCGCGUGAGUGAAGAAGGCCUUCGGGUUGUAAAGCUCUUUCAGCUGGAACGAAACGGUACGCUCUAACAUAGCGUGCUAAUGACGGUACCAGCAGAAGAAGCACCGGCUAACUACGUGCCAGCAGCCACGGUAAUACGUAGGGUGCGAGCGUUAAUCGGAAUUACUGGGCGUAAAGCGUGCGCAGGCGGAUUGUUAAGCAAGAUGUGAAAUCCCCGGGCUUAACCUGGGAAUGGCAUUUUGAACUGGCAGUCUAGAGUGUGUCAGAGGGGGGUGGAAUUCCACGUGUAGCAGUGAAAUGCGUAGAUAUGUGGAGGAACACCAAUGGCGAAGGCAGCCCCCUGGGAUAACACUGACGCUCAUGUACGAAAGCGUGGGUAGCAAACAGGAUUAGAUACCCUGGUAGUCCACGCCCUAAACGAUGUCAACUGGUUGUUGGGGGAGUGAAAUCCCUUAGUAACGAAGCUAACGCGUGAAGUUGACCGCCUGGGGAGUACGGUCGCAAGAUUAAAACUCAAAGGAAUUGACGGGGACCCGCACAAGCGGUGGAUGAUGUGGAUUAAUUCGAUGCAACGCGAAAAACCUUACCUACCCUUGACAUGUCCAGAAUCCUGCAGAGAUGCGGGAGUGCCCGAAAGGGAAUUGGAACACAGGUGCUGCAUGGCUGUCGUCAGCUCGUGUCGUGAGAUGUUGGGUUAAGUCCCGCAACGAGCGCAACCCUUAUCAUUAGUUGCUACGCAAGGGCACUCUAAUGAGACUGCCGGUGACAAACCGGAGGAAGGUGGGGAUGACGUCAAGUCCUCAUGGCCCUUAUGGGUAGGGCUUCACACGUCAUACAAUGGUCGGUACAGAGGGUUGCCAAGCCGCGAGGUGGAGCCAAUCCCAGAAAGCCGAUCGUAGUCCGGAUUGUUCUCUGCAACUCGAGAGCAUGAAGUCGGAAUCGCUAGUAAUCGCGGAUCAGAAUGUCGCGGUGAAUACGUUCCCGGGUCUUGUACACACCGCCCGUCACACCAUGGGAGUGGAAUCUGCCAGAAGUAGGUAGCCUAACCGCAAGGAGGGCGCUUACCACGGUGGGUUUCAUGACUGGGGUGAAGUCGGAACAAGGUA
rnacentral:rRNA from 1 species